rnacentral:ncRNA from 1 species
UGUCUCCUCCACCGCCUCUGGGUGGAUUUCAGGCCUCGGUCCACAAGACCGGGGCCUUUUUUU